AACUUUCGGCAACGGAUCUCUUGGCUCUCGCAUCGAUGAAGAACGCAGCGACAUGCGAUACGUAAUGUGAAUUGCAGAAUUCAGUGAAUCAUCGAAUCUUUGAACGCAUCUUGCGCUCCUUGGUAUUCCGAGGAGCAUGCCUGUUUGAGUGUCAUUUAACUUCACAACCAUAUCGAUUUUUGAUGUGGCUUGGAUGUGGGGGUUGUGCAGGCCUCUGACCCUGAGGUCGGCUCCCCUGAAAUGCAUUAGUGGUAUCUGAGCAGAACUACUAUACCAUUUAGGUGUGAUAAGUUAUCUAUGCCUUUGGUAUGCUGCAUGAACGGAUUGCACCGCUUCUAACAGCCCAAUAUAUUUGACAAAUUUGACCUCAAAUCAGGUAGGACUACCCGCUGAACUUAAGCAUAUCAAUAAGCGGAGGCU
rnacentral:misc_RNA from 1 species